CCUACGGGCGGCUGCAGUGGGGAAUAUUGGACAAUGGGGGCAACCCUGAUCCAGCCAUGCCGCGUGUGUGAAGAAGGCCCUCGGGUUGUAAAGCACUUUCAGUGAGGAAGAACGCCUGGUGGUUAAUACCCAUCAGGAAAGACAUCACUCACAGAAGAAGCACCGGCUAACUCCGUGCCAGCAGCCGCGGUAAUACGGAGGGUGCGAGCGUUAAUCGGAAUUACUGGGCGUAAAGCGCGCGUAGGUGGCUUGAUAAGCCGGUUGUGAAAGCCCCGGGCUCAACCUGGGAACGGCAUCCGGAACUGUCAAGCUAGAGUGCAGGAGAGGACGGUAGAAUUCCCGGUGUAGCGGUGAAAUGCGUAGAGAUCGGGAGGAAUACCAGUGGCGAAGGCGGCCUUCUGGACUGACACUGACACUGAGGUGCGAAAGCGUGGGUAGCAAACAGGAUUAGAUACCCGGUAGUC
rnacentral:rRNA from 1 species